GGAGAUUGCCUCAGCAUUUCCCAGCAAAGGCAUCUAUAUUGGACUGACAAUUCUGUUUGCUGGAAGAUGCACUUGGGAAGGUGUGUGUUGGAUGUUCUCAAACCAAACAAGAGCAACGCUUCAGUCUCUACGAGUGAUACAAGGCAAAGAAAGAGAUGAUGCUGAAUGACACUGGAAGACACACAGUUAAAGCAAGCAAAGAAAAGUAUGCAGAAAGGCACUGAGGAAUACCAAGAGAAUCUGUGACACUCUACUAAGUCAAGUCAGUCUGUAGUAUCCCUGAAUGUCAGUGGGAGAAGGAGAAUAAUGAGAUGCUACAGUGAAGUGAAACCUGUCCUGAGAAAUCAUCAGAGGAAACUUUCUUACCUUCCUUGCCAUUCCUUCUUAUAUUUUAACACCAAAUGAAGCCACAGUGUAUGUUUAUGAAGAUUAUUUCAUUCCUAGCAACCAGAAAACACAAAUGUUAACUGUUCUGAUAUCCUGCAAAUCUGUUACACAUAACAUCACAGAACUGUAGAAAGUUUUGCAGGUUUUUAAACAAACGUGAUAACAUUUGGAGAGUUACACAGUAUUAUCUUGUAUAAAUUGAAUGGUAGAGAGAUGAGCAUUCAUGGAGAUAAUAUUAAUAUCACACUUAUGCCCUUCACAUUUCAUUACACCACUAACACUCCUCUAGUGUAAAUGACAUCCAAACUUCAUAUGUUAAUAUGGUUAAGAUAUGGGGCAUGCCCUUCCACAGUAGAAUACUUUAGUUUGUUUUCAUCCUCUUAUUACUUUACAAUUGGCAUAAGUGACUAGUUCUGAGAGUUGCAUCUGAAUUUUCAUUUGGAUGAUAUUCAGCAUAUUCUUUAAUGAAUAUUUUUUACCUUUUCAACUUUACCAUUGGAAGGACAUGCUUCUGUGUUCUGCUUCUACCAGUGGCAUUUUAUAAAGCAGCAGGAAUUUUGGGUUUUGUUAAUGCCUAUGGUCAAAUGCAUAAAAAUGCUGAAGAUUUCCUCUAGUGUUCUCUUCUAUUUGAUAUGAUACAUGCAAGAGUCUUGCAUAUGUGAAAUAACAGGAACAUUUUUUUAAUGCUUGAAGCCAGCUGGAAAAAGAUAUUUCAUUCUUUCCUUUUAUUUUGAUAUCACAUGUUUCAAAAUGAGAAAAUUUCCAUUAUUAUCAGCUUUAUAGGUCAUGCAGGUAACUGAAAUAGCAAACUGAAACACUGCCAGCUCAUUAAAAAUCUUUCUUUAUGAAGAUGGCUACUGUUACUGCACUGCAAUUUUAUAUGGAAACUAAAAUAGGUUGAAUAAUCAAAACGAUACUAUUUCACGGUUGCAUUGAUAUUUCACCUAUUUCAGUUGUGUAGGUUAGUAUAGGGAGUCAUUUCUAAUGAAUCUGAAGGCUACUGGGUUGGCCACAAACAUAAGAUCCUAGAAGUGUGCCAACAUCAGCAUCUCAAUGGUGAGAGGAACAAAAAUGAUAACGAUGAAAUGGAAAACUGGUACAUGGUAUUGUAGAAUCGAAGCUAAUAAGUGGAGAUAAAAGACAGCAAAAUUAAAAAGCUGAAAUGAGAUUUGAAAACAGUAAUCCUGAAAGUAAAUAUUUUGUGUUUUGUAUGUUGAUGCAAUGUAUCAGAUAGGAAGUAAUGCUGGAUAAGCAGAGAAAGUGAAUGUUAAGAAUAAACUAGCUGUCUCAUGAGAUCAACUCCUGGGUGGAGGGUGGGGGGUAGAAGGAACAAGUUCACCUACAAAUUUCAGAACCUUUAAAAUCCAGGACAAAGAAGAAUCAUGUGGAAGUGUUACUCUGAGGAUUUAAAAUGGGUUAUGAAAUUCAGAGCAGUCAUCUCUGCAGUGUUACUUAAUAAGCAUAGGUCAUUCCAGAUCCCACUUCUCUAAACAGUGUGGUACUGUGGUAGAUUAUGUUGUAACACAGAAAAUUGUUGUUAGCGAGUAAGUACUGGUAACUGAGUUUACUAAGUGGUAAUAGAAUUAAAUGUUGAGGGCAAACAUAAGCUACCUGAAAAUGAAAUCCUUUCAAUAGACAGGAAUUUAUGUGGGAACUGACUAUAGGAAUAUAUAGGUGUAUAUAUAGGUAUAUAGGUAUAUAUAGGUAUAUAGGAAUAUAGGUAGAAGGCUCCUGAAUGAAGUACUGAGAACACAACUGAAUAAAACACUAGGAUUAUGUACUCUGUACCACCUGAUAUCCACAAAGCAGGAGGAGCAUGUCCUUAGACCUCAACUGUUUCUGGUUUCUUCAACUUUAAACAAAAGUUGUUGAGAAUACCUACCAUUUCAGUUCAUGGUGCUGGCUUCUGUGUCUGAACAAGAUAUUAGCAACUUCAGCCAUUAAUUAAUUAAGUAAGACAUUACUUAAUAGUAAUGUGUUAAGUACUUAAUAAUAAGACAUUAAUUAAGAAUUAAGUAGGUAUUCAAAUUUACUUAGGAUAAUGUGCGGUGAUACUGUUUCAUAGUUCGUUUGCAAGCAGAGGGGUUAAUUAGAUAGCAUUAUGAAUAUUCAGAUUUUAUCAUUAACCAUGCUGCAAUUUGCCAGUUGGUCAUAUGAAAGAUUGUGCUUCAAGACAGACUCUUCCAAAAUUUACACAGUCAUUAUGAACAAGUGGUCUUAGUGUCGCUGUAGGAAGUAUUACAACAUGACCAUAAUGAUAGAAUGAUCAAUUAAUCUAUGUGCAAUUAAUAAAAGAGACAGAAAGAUGAGCUGAAAGUCAAACUCUGUCAAACUCAAACCCCUUUGUCUAAGAAGCUCUAGGUGUUUGUUUCCAGGUCUGUCUGCAUGACGUGACCCUGCAUCCUUUUGUCCUUUUGCUUUUCUCAAGGCCCUGACUCUAAGCCUGGUUAUUCUUCACCUGACAUCAUGCUUCUUCAAAGGCAUAUGAAGGUCACACAGUCCUCUGCUGUUGGGAUGUUGAACUGACAGAGCAGUGCAUGUUUCUUGCAGUAUUGUAAAGUGGUUAGCAAUGCCAGGAUUCCACGUACAGCAUCCUGCACGCGCCUCACUGUGUGGGUUACACACCAAACCUUUCCCAAAAGGGGAGUAACAGGAAAAGUAUCAGCAUGUAACUCUGUAAGACCCUUUAGAAGAGCAACAUGAGCUGUCAGUGUCUGUUUUAG